rnacentral:lncRNA from 1 species
GAACCUUCAGACAGAGAUAGACAGACACUAACGUGGGAGGUUUGGGCUUGGAGCUUCUUCCUGCAGUGUCCUCUUGUUCUUGCAGGGGGUCCCCAAAUCCUGAAGGGCUGUGCUACACCAGAGGUCUGCCACCUACACGUGAACUCCACCCUAGGCCCCGAGGAGUCUGGGUUUCGUCUCACUGCCAAGCCUGAAUGCAGCUACCUGGCUCCUCCCACUCCACCAGGUCCCCAUGCAACUGUGACCCACCACAAGGACAAGGCUACCAUCUGUUUCACCUGCUCAGACCUCUAUCGCUGUGAUCCUCUCCCAUGCCCGGAAGAUAGGAGCUACUGCCUUCAGACAGCAGGCGUCACAGCCUUGGGGGAAGGCAGUUCUGUCACCUGGAGAAACGGUUACUGUGUGGCCUCCACGGACUGCAGAGUUGACAACUCCAUCUCUGCGUUGACCUACGGCGUCAGCUUCGGCUUCUGGGUCAACACCACUUGUUGCCGAGGCAACUGCCAGGAGCCCAUUCCUCUCGGUAUGCUGCCACUGGGAAGCAGUAAGAUGGGUGGCCAAGGAGGUGGCAGGUGGCUUUGGAGGAGAGCUUUCCUGGGUUGAGGAAGGGAUGGAGGCAGGAACAUCACUCAACCUCCAUUCCCCAGCCAGGCUACCCUAAGGCACCCUGACCCUCGCUCAGUGGGAAAUCCCAUUGAGGUUGUCACAGUGUGGUAGAGUCUAUGAGUGCAUGGAGGGCCCUGGGAGGUCCUGAGACUCUUCCCAGCCCAUCUUCACCCUCUCCUCUAUAGCAGCUCAGCUGGCCUCACCCACCUUGAGCAAUUUCCUGUGUCCCACAUGUCCUGGGAGCCACUUGGGUCCCUGCAAUUCCUCCUUCUACAUGCAGUGUCCCAGUGGGGAGACCAACUGUGUCCAGCUGGACCUGGUGUCUGAAGAAGGUAAGGUGUGUGUGUGUAUGUGUGUGUGCACGUGUGAGCCUGAGCACACUGGUUUCAGAUGCAGGCAUGCCUGAGUUUGGGGUCUGCCCUCCAUCUUUACUCUGUGUGGCCAGAGACAAGCAACUUUAUCUCUGUGCCUCAGUGUUCUCUUCUCGUAAAUGGGUAUAAUGGAGGCACGCUUUUCAGAGUGUUGUGAGGACAAAUGAGCUCAUAAGGGAGGUGAUACAGGAGAGGGUAUGAGAACAGGACUCUAGGGCCAAGCUACCUGGGUUCAAAUCCUGGAUCCAUCACUUAUGAGCUGGGUGACUUUGGGCAGGUGACUUAGUCUCUAUGUGCCUCAAUUUCUCCAUCUGAAAAAGAGGUUAAUAAUAGUUUUUAAGUCUCAAGACUGUUGUGAGAAUUAAAUAAGAUAAACCAUUAAACUUCUAGAUCAGUGCUGUCCAAAAGAAAUAUAAUGUGAGUCACAUGGAAAUUUUAAAACUUUCUAAGUAACCUCAUUAAACAAGUAAACAGUAACAGAGGAAAUGAACUUAAUAAUAUAUUUUAUUUAACACAAUUUAUCCAACAGUUAUCAACUCUAACAUGUAAUCAAUAUUAGAAAUUAUAAAUGAGAUGUCUUGCAUUCAUUGUUUUCCUACUAAGUCUUUGAAAUCUCAUGUAAAUUUCACAUGCACAAGCAUGGCAACUCAAACCAGCCACAUCUCAAGGGUUCAAUAGCCACAUGUGGCUAGUGGUUACUGUAUCGAACAGCAUAAUUCUAGAACAUAGCAAGUGCAAUAUGUGGCAUUUCAGUGAAUCUAAGCUGGUAUCAGUAGGAAGACACAAGAUAACUCUAUUCAGAAGUGUUAAAAUGUGUGCAUGUGUAAGUGGGGGGGGCGAUGUGCCUUGCAAUUUAUAAAAUCUGGUAAGCACUAGUGGCCAUGACCGUUAUGUGUGUAUAAGGCUUAUGUAGGCCGGGCGAGGUGGCUUAUGCCUGUAAUCCCAGCACUUCCUGAGGCCAGGAGUUUGAGACCAGCCUAGGCAACAAGCAAGAUCCCAUCUCUGGGGAAAAAAAAAAGGCUUUCAUGGGCUAGACAGGCCUUCAAUCAAGUAUUGUGCAGGGAAUGGAUGGAUCAGGGAACUUGGGUCUGUGUGUGCAUGUCUGUGUUUCUGUCCAUGAAUCGGGUGGGUGUGUUUGUGUUGAUCGUGUAUGGGCCUCUGGGGGCAUCGGGCAAGCUGUAUGUGACUGAGGUGUGUGUGUGUGUGUGUGUGUGUGUGUGUGUGCACGUGUUCAUGGGUGUGCACAGGAUGAGCCUGGAGCAGUGACUCACAAACACAGUUCUGGGAGGAAGUGUAGACCAGCAUAGGGCAAAAUGAGACAAAUCUGCAACAUGCCGUGAGACUUGCAUUUCUUUUUAACUUUUUUUUUAUGGAGAAGUCAAAGAUAAAUAAAAGAAUGAACACUUUAGUAAAGCCCCGUGUAGACCCUUCGCCCAACUCUGAUAACCAUCCACUCCUGGCCAAUCCUGUUCCAUCUCCACCUGCCUCAUACUAUUUUGCAGCAAAUUCAGAUAUUGCAUCACUUCAUCCAUAAGCAUUUCCGUACAUGGCUCUAAAAGAUAAAGACUUACAAAUAACCUACAAUUAUGAGGUUUUUCAAAUUGGAAAAAAAUAAGACCAUUUUGCUUCCAUGUCCCGCAUCAAGUCUCCAAUAAACUGGUUACACCUGCAUAUUGCUAUGUAGACAUACAUAUAGCACAUCAUAUCAUGUUACAGUAUAUCAUAUAUGGCUCGGGAGAAGGAAAAAUUGGGAAAGCUGGGCACUAAGCAGGUUGGGGGACGGUGAGCGAAACAGAGUGGCCUCCGAGCGUGUGUGCGCAUCGGCCACAGUGAAAGUGUAUCUGCGACAUAUUCAUGCGUGUAAGGUAGAAAAAGAAUCCCAGCCGUGACCAGCCCCUAGUUCAAGGAGCAGGGCAUUCCCGGUGAGUUUUCACGGAGAACACUGACCCGAGGGGACCUCGGGCGCGCGUGUGUGCAAGGCGCGCGCGUGCAGGGGUGACGCUCUGCCCGCCCGCGCGUGUCCCCACGGUCGCCUCCUCACACCCGGUC